ACAGCCAAAUCACGAUGUAACAGUGAUUCACGUACGAUCACUGUAGUUAAGCAACGUCAAGUCUGGUCAGUACCUAGAUGGGUGAUCGCUUGGAAAUACCAGGUGCUGUAAG